rnacentral:rRNA from 1 species
ACUCAAAGGAAUAGACGGGGGCCCGCACAAGCGGUGGAGCAUGUGGUUUAAUUCGAAGCAACGCGAAGAACCUUACCAGGUCUUGACAUACUCGUGCUAUCCUUAGAGAUAAGGAGUUCCUUCGGGACACGGGAUACAGGUGGUGCAUGGUUGUCGUCAGCUCGUGUCGUGAGAUGUUGGGUUAAGUCCCGCAACGAGCGCAACCCUUAUUACUAGUUGCCAUCAUUAAGUUGGGCACUCUAGUGAGACUGCCGGUGAUAAACCGGAGGAAGGUGGGGAUGACGUCAAAUCAUCAUGCCCCUUAUGACCUGGGCUACACACGUGCUACAAUGGAUGGUACAACGAGUCGCCAACCCGCGAGGGUGCGCUAAUCUCUUAAAACCAUUCUCAGUUCGGAUUGCAGGCUGCAACUCGCCUGCAUGAAGUCGGAAUCGCUAGUAAUCGCGGAUCAGCACGCCGCGGUGAAUACGUUCCCGGGCCUUGUACACACCGCCCGU